rnacentral:rRNA from 1 species
UACAGAGGGUGCGAGCGUUGUCCGGAAUCACUGGGCGUAAAGGGCGCGUAGGUGGCGACCCAAGUCGAUGGUGAAAGCUCGCCGCUCAACGGCGAGUCAGCCACCGAUACUGGGUUGCUGGAGCACUGGUAGAGGCAGAUGGAAUUCCGGGUGUAGCGGUGGAAUGCGUAGAGAUCCGGAGGAACACCAGUGGCGAAGGCGACUUACUGGA